AUUAUACCACCAGUUAGUGACGCGAAUAAAGAAAUCGUCUGCUGCUGUUAGCCUGUUACCGGUGUAGCACAUUUACGUGAAAUCGUGAAUGAAUCCAAAGAAAAAAUGAUUUUCAACCUAUUUUUGCUAUCGUAGAAGUUCUCUAUUGUUUUGCCCUGGUUUUGCCAAAGACUACGAAGUCUGUGGUUUUGCAACUAUGCAUACUUGCCCAGUUGCACGUGAUUUGAUCCUUCUGAUUCCUAAUCGACGGCCAUCCAACAAAGCUACAAAGCUGUUUGUGUGAUUGAGCUCUAUUAAUUUUUGAAGAUGGUUGCAAACAAUUUCAAGAAAAAGUGCUGCUAAAGGAAAAAUAACCACCUCCUUCCAGUCUUGUCAAGCCAGAAAACGCAAUUUAAAGGCAUCGUCUAUUCGGCUACCUUCUCAAGUCGGUCAUGUUGUUGCUGAAGAUUUCUUUUCACAAAUUGAAGAGACCUUACAGGCUGUACUGGAUGGACCAGUUCACGUUCCCAGCCGUCUCUUUACUAGAAAAGGCCACAAUAUUGACUUCGCCACCAUAUUCAGCAUGGAUAAGACUCCUGUUCCUAUAAACCCGGUAUGGGACAGUUUUACCAAUAAAACACGAUUUGUGGAAGAUCUCCACAUCCAAAAGGGAAAUCGAUUGGUGCUUUGGAAAAUUUUCCGCCCUCAAGCUUAUAGCCACAACCACUACUUUCAAUGUUACGCCAAACCAGUUAAUGGUUCCUGUUAUCUUUUGACCCGGUUUGAUCACUCAGUGAUUAAUGAUACUUUGAGGUGGACUGUGUGUAGUAUAUAACUGUUGAAUUGGUCGAUCAAAGAAGUCAGUUAUUGAUCUGAUUUUAACCACCUAACAGCUCUCGGACACAGUCAACAUGAAGUUCUUGAUUCUUGUCAGCCUCAUUGCUGUCGUUGCCGCCAAAUCCGCUUAUCCAACUAAGGAUUAUUCAUCCCCCGCUUAUGAAAAGCCUGCUGAAUCCUACAAACCUCAACCAUAUAGUUUCGAAUGGGCGGUUAAGGAUGAAUCCUACAACGACUACUCUCAUACUCAGAGUAGCGAUGGGAAAGUGAUCACAGGAUCGUACCGCAUGGAACUCCCAGACGGCCGUGCUCAAAUCGUCAACUACAAGGCUGACAGCAACGGAUACACCGCCGACGUCACGUACGAAGGAGAGGCCCAAUACCCGCCUGUCACUUACUCCGCCUCAGCUUACUCUGCUUCGGUCUAUAAUGCUCCAACUUACCCCGCGUUCAGCAAAAUCCCAGUAAGCGAAAUUCCAACAUACAAUUCCCCAACCUACAAAAUCCCAUCUAGAUAUUAAGCAUAAUUUCACGUUACGCAUGUAAUUCAUCUGUGUGAAUGGUAAUUGAUUUUCGCUUGUACACGAAAAUUCGAUUUAAUUAGCAGGAACUCAUUUAUGUCUGUCAACCCCCCACAAUUAAUAACUUUCACCGUAAAAUCAUGCUGAUAAAUCCGGAUAAAUCAAAUGAUAAAUAUUCGAACUUUGUUUCUA
rnacentral:lncRNA from 1 species